rnacentral:lncRNA from 1 species
AACCACAGGAAAGAAACCAGCAUGAUUCUAUGGGAUUUGCUUUUUUGCCUCUAUUUUAGCAGUCCAUUAAGAGCUCUUUCUGUAAAAUAACUCCUUGUUGUGGCAUCAGAGACCUGAAAAAUCUGACUCCAGAUUCAGGAGUUCCAGAAGCUGAAUCCCUCAAAUCCUGAUGAUCUACUUCAUCGUGUCUUGGAAGCCAGGCCACGUUUCUUUGCUAGAGAUUCUAUUUCAGGGACUGUCGACUUAGAUCCGACUAAGCCAGACCUCCUCUACC